rnacentral:rRNA from 1 species
GCGACCCCAGGUCANGCNGGACUACCCGCUGAGUUUAAGCAUAUCAAUA